GAUUUAAGUUACCGAGCUGAGUAAUCGUGAUGGAUUAUGAUAUUUCAGUUUUGAAAACCCGGUUUGGUAUAUUUCCAAGUCCGUCCAAGUGAAAGUUAGUGUUGAACAUGAUAUCUGGUGCAAUUAGCUCGCCACGUGCAUAAAAGUUAGCUGCAGAUACUUGCAGAUAGAGGGUCAUAUAAAGGGUAUUGCCAGCUCAUCAGGCACUAAACAAGUAACUCGUCAAUAU